GUGGGGAAUAUUGGACAAUGGGGGGAACCCUGAUCCAGCCAUGCCGCGUGUGUGAAGAAGGCCUUUUGGUUGUAAAGCACUUUAAGCGAGGAGGAGGCUACCGAGAUUAAUACUCUUGGAUAGUGGACGUUACUCGCAGAAUAAGCACCGGCUAACUCUGUGCCAGCAGCCGCGGUAAUACAGAGGGUGCAAGCGUUAAUCGGAUUUACUGGGCGUAAAGCGCGCGUAGGUGGCCAAUUAAGUCAAAUGUGAAAUCCCCGAGCUUAACUUGGGAAUUGCAGUCGAUACUGGUUGGCUAGAGUAUGGGAGAGGAUGGUAGAAUUCCAGGUGUAGCGGUGAAAUGCGUAGAGAUCUGGAGGAAUACCGAUGGCGAAGGCAGUCAUCUGGCCUAAUACUGACACUGAGGUGCGAAAGCAUGGGGAGCAAACAGGAUUAGAAACCCGUGUAGUCC
rnacentral:rRNA from 1 species